AUUAAUAGGCUUUUAAUCAAGUAACAACUUUUUUAAGCAGAUGCUAAAUGUAGUACCAGAGUAAUUGGAUCCUAGUGUACUGACAGGGUCUUGAAUAUGUUAAGAAAAUGCUGUUCAUUUCGAAGAGUUUCAAAACAUUUGAGAGGGAGGAAGGCACUCUUCCACUGACCCUCAGUGUGCAUUUUAGUUUCAUUUUGGGUUGACUCUUCUCUGUUGCUGCCUGAUGCCUCUAGUGUAAGGCGAAGAUCUCCAUGUCUCAUGUCUUUCCUGCUCCCCUUCUCUGCCCUGUUCCACUCAGGGGAAUAGCCCAGCAUCAACUCAGUCCAUGCUUGUUAAUCAACCUCCAUACACCACAUCCAGCAAAGCUCCCUGAGUGACUCACAGUCACCAACCACCCGUGCACUGAUCUUUCCUCUGUGUCCUUCCAGAUUGUCCUGAGGAUGGCCUGGUUUUAAGAGGCUCACCGCCAUGUAAAGAUGAAGAAGAAGAAAAAGAAGAUGAUGAUGAUAAGAAUGAUGCCCACAUAACAGCUUGGAGCGAAAACGACUUGAUGCUGGAGAGUAUAAGUGAUAGAAGUUACGAGGAGACUCAUCCAGGGUGACUUCCAAUAAAACCCCCACCGCCGGCACUUUUCUCAGGACUGGAGAGCUCAGGCAGCCCAGGACGAAUAGUGCAGUCACCGCAGACGGGCAGGGUGGCCACAAGAGACAGGGUCUUGCUUUGUCACCCAGGCUAGAGUGCAGUAGCAUGAUCAUAGCUCACCGCAGCCUCAAACUCCUUGGCUCAAAUGAUCCUCCCACAUCAUUCUUCCACGGAGCUAGGUUUGGCUAUCCGUCCCAAGCGCUGGACCACAAAAAUAUGGAGAUGGACCAAAAUUUGGCGUGCAGGAAAUAAAGGAAUGUGCAUGUGAGGUUCCAGGGCGAGCCUUACUACGGACCAGGCUGUGAAACUGGGAGCUGCCUUGAAAAGACAUUCCUCAAGAUGUUGCCAAAAAAAGUGGUGUUUAUUUCCAUGACUGAAGGGGCUGCUUCCGUCCUCCUGAUCAAGGGGAUGCAGGGGACAUGCUCAGAGGAUCAGCGACCACCUGCCCUAGACCUAUGGAGACAGGUGAGGGUGGCAUUGCUGCAGCUCCCCAGGGAGGCCUGUGCAGCUGUGACACCACCUCCAUCACCCACUUGAGGGCUCAGCGGCCCCAUACUGAUCCCAUGGUGCUUCCCAUGCCCCUCACCCCACUCUCUGUUGUUUCUCUGAGGAGGGUUGGAGGCAUUCCCUAGCCAGGCGCUGAGGACUGUCCUUUUGUAUUAGGAGGGAGUCUGUGGGUCUUCAUACUGCACUCGAGGAGGAUGAGAUAUGAGUCCCUACAAGGGCUUCCCUCCUGUGCCAUGGCCUGCCUGUUCCCUGACCUUUGCCUAUUUCUUCUGUCCUUGACUAUUUUAGAUAUGGUCUGUGGCCUAGAGGCACAGCAGGGCCCCACAGUGGCCCCAGCAAAGGCAAUCGAGGUGGAGGAGCGGAUGUAUGGGGAGUCACAGAGGCGCUGGCCC